GACGACGCUGGCGGCGUGCUUAACACAUGCAAGUCGAACGGUGACGAGGAGCUUGCUCCUCUGAUCAGUGGCGAACGGGUGAGUAACACGUGAGCAACCUGCCCCAGACUCUGGGAUAACAGUUGGAAACAGCUGCUAAUACCGGAUACGAGACGGAGAGGCAUCUCUACCGUCUGGAAAGUUUUUCGGUCUGGGAUGGACUCGCGGCCUAUCAGCUAGUUGGUGAGGUAAUGGCUCACCAAGGCGACGACGGGUAGCCGGCCUGAGAGGGCGACCGGCCACACUGGGACUGAGACACGGCCCAGACUCCUACGGGAGGCAGCAGUGGGGAAUAUUGCACAAUGGGCGAAAGCCUGAUGCAGCGACGCCGCGUGAGGGAUGACGGCCUUCGGGUUGUAAACCUCUUUCAGCAGGGAAGAAGCGCAAGUGACGGUACCUGCAGAAGAAGCACCGGCUAACUACGUG
rnacentral:rRNA from 1 species